rnacentral:tRNA from 1 species
GCCGACGUAGCUCAACGGCAGAGCUCCUGAUUUGUAAUCAGGGGGUUAUCGGUUCAAAUCCGAUCGUCGGCUCCA